UUUCGGGGACUUGUCCAGGACAAUCACAGACAUGUUUCGCUAAAUGUCAACAACAAGGCUUUCAUUCUGGUGGCGUGUGUAUUCGAGACGCCCUCAUUUGUUGUUGUAAACCAAACAUUUGAGAGAUUUAUGUUUGAUCGUUGCAGUUUUUGAAAUGUUUGUACACAUCAGUAUACACACACAAUCUUUAAGAUUUUAAUUAAGUUAAGUUCG
rnacentral:lncRNA from 1 species